rnacentral:lncRNA from 1 species
CCGCUCCGCGUCGGCCAGCUCCGGCCGCAGCUCGUCCACCGGUGACAACACCGUUCGUCGGCCGAGAAUCUGACCAGCUUCACUGCUUCAAUCUCCUUCUCCGUCGGCGGCAGUCACCGGAAACAGUGCCGCCGAUGACCGGCAACGACACCCCGUCCGUUUUCCACUAAUUCCGACGAAAUUUCGCGUAUGGGUCUUCUCGAUUUUUCAUAAUUUCAGUCUCGGUUCGUUUGAUAUUUCUUAUUCCUUAAGGUUUUGAAUCCAUCCGAGUUGUUUUGGUUCGUGCAAAGUUAGUUGGAAAUCGUUGGUUUGGGGUUUCGAAUCUGGGAUCUUGGGUUGUUUUUGAAGUUUAUUCGGAUUUGUGGGUUAUUCAUCGUGAGGUUUUAUCGUGGUUUUCCGAUCUGUCCGGUUGAACUCAAUAUCGAGUUUGGAGUUGUUCGUUGUGGGUUCUUCGAUCGAGUAUUUUGGUCUUCGGAUUUCUCUAUUAUCGACAAGGAUUAAUUUCACCGAGGUCCAUUUCUUCUAACCGAAUCUUUAAUUUAUUUUGACUUUUUAUUGAUGUUGUGGGUGUGGAUGAUUUAUUUGUUGUGUGUUUGGUUUGAAUUUUCGUUUUUUGUGUUGUGUUUGAUGUUGGUUUCGGAUUAUGAGAUGUGAUUGAAAAAUCGAAGCAUGCACUAAUCAUGUGGUUUAA